GCCGCUCGCCCGUCCCGUGGGGCGCAAGGGGGGCGGACAGGGGCGCACGCGGAGAGGCUGGGGCGCACCCGGCGCGCGGCCCGGCCCGGACGCCUGGGUCCACGCGGGUGUCCUGAGAGAACCGCACUGAGCUUUAAUGAGGGGGGCGGGGCGGGGAGGGGGCCGACGGGGGUGCCGAGAGAGCCCUGCAUGCUGAAGUCAUUAUGUAAAAUCGCAGGCUUCCCCCGCUGUGGAAAUUUGGAAAAGCGCUUCCACUGGCAGGCCCGAGAAAGGAAAUUCCCAUCCCGCUAAAUUACUAACAGAUUGCACGGCAGUCCCGGGACGUGGAGUCACUGUCAUUUUUCUCCUGUAAAUAUCUGAGCGACCCAGAUUGCCUGUUGCAAGGCUGGCUGGCGCGGGGCGGCGCGGGGGGGGCGGGCCGUGGAGAACCGCGAGCCCCUCCCCGGGCUCCCAGCCGUCGCCCCCAGCCGGCCCCGAGGCCAGGGCGGUUUACCGGCGCGACUGGGGUUUCCAGCCGACGGGGGCUGGUCCGCUCGCCUCGCGGGGGAGGCCUCUCCAACCGGCUGCUUCACUUCACUCUUUCCUCUUUCAAGCCCUCCUGCUUUCUCGGUGCAGCUUGGCGGCCAAAACGGGACCGUAUUUUCGUGUUGGCCUUGGCUGGAAGGGACGGAGUGUUGGGGCAGUUAAAAUGUCUGGUGUAUAAGAAUUAUAAAUCUAUUGCACGACACCCUAUGUGGGUUAAAAUAAACCCAAAGCAGAAGACGUGUCUGCCGCGGGGACCAGGAGGCCUGCGGCUCGCGGGGGGGUGCUCCCAAAGGACUCCACGCCCGGCACUCGGGGAAAGGGGGGGUGCCACGCUUGACCCAAUGGGGGGGGGUUGCCCUGCCCUCGGUGCGACAUUAAACAACAGGAAGGCGCCCGGCAGAGGCAUGCCCACGUCACCACCGCGGUUGUCGGUUCAUCCCAGUGGAGUCGGCGCGACUGGGCGCAGGCCUCCCCUGGGGGUCUCCCCUGGGGGUCUCCCUUGGGGGUCUGGAGAGGGUCAGGCCACUCCUGGUGCCACGACCUGUGGGUCAGCGCCCGUCCUGGGAGCCGACCCGCCAGGCGCCUCGAGCCCCAGGCAAAGGGCGGGGGGUGGACCCCGCGGGGACGCAGUGGCUGGGGCUGGGAGACCCCGCGAGGACGCUGGAGGCCCAAGAGGGGGAACCCCUCGAGCUUGCCGAGGGGGGAGGGUUGCGAGGACGCGGGACGGAGGGAGGCG
rnacentral:lncRNA from 1 species